rnacentral:snRNA from 12 species
AGAAUGUGGCAGAGGAGGCAUCACGACCAGGAGGGCUGUUGUUCCAGGAUGCAGCUUCUCUCUCACACUCCAGAUGUGCUGACGCCGCAAUUUUCCAAAACAUGAGAAAUCUGCCUGUGUAAUAUGUGGCAGUGCAGGACUCUACUUGUAUUCCUCUUCU